GCAUAUCAAUAAGCGGAGGAAAAGAAACUAACUAGGAUUCCCCAGUAACUGCGAGUGAAGAGGGAAGAGCUCAUCAUUGGAAUCUGGCAGUGUUGCACUGUCCGAGUUGUAGAUGAGGAGUAGUCCGUCUGGACUGCAUGGCGUCCAAGUACAAUAGGCCGUCAGUGGGACAUCAUAGAGGGUGACAAUCCCGUCCUUGACGCCAAUGUGCAAGUCUAUUACGAUGGCUAUCUCAGAGAGUCGAGCAGUUUGGGAUUUGCUGCUUAAACAUGGGAGGUAGAUUCCUUCUAAAGCUAAAUACAGGCGAGAGACCGAUGGAGAACAAGUACCGCAAGGGAAAGAUGAAAUAGCACUCUGUGAAGGGAGUCAAAAGGCGUGAAAUUGUUGCGAGAGAAGCGAUUCAAGUCAGCGUAGCUAGGCCCAUCAAGCGUCUUCGCUUUGGACUAGCUUUGCCAGCGGUCUUGUCCCUUGAAGAGACUUGACUUGUAAUAUGUCCAGCCUGGCGUGCACAGGCAGCCCCUUCUGGGGGCCAGUGGCAUGGCUGGUGGAAUGGCUUGCAAUCGACCCGUCUUGAAACACGGACCAAGGAGUCUAACAUGUAUGCGAGUAUAAGGGUGGCAAACCCGUAUGCGCAAUGAAAGUGAUUUUCGGUGAUUGAGAAUGGCCUGAUGACCAGACAAGCAAUAUAUGUCCCUCGUACGGCCAUUGCCCAAGUUCCGUGGUAGAUCCCACGAACAUGGAGUUGGAGCAUACAUGCUAGGACCCGAAAGAUGGUGAACUAUGCCUGGACAAAGCGAAGCCAAAGGAAACUCUGGUGGAGGCUUGUAGCGAUUCUGACGUGCAAAUCGAUCGUCUGAUCUGGGUAUAGGGGCGAAAGACUAAUCGAACCAUCUCAUAGCUGGUUCCUGCCGAAGUUUCCCUCAGGAU
rnacentral:rRNA from 1 species